AGGACGAACGCUGGCGGCGUGCUUAACACAUGCAAGUCGAGCGGUAAGGCCUUUCGGGGUACACGAGCGGCGAGCGGGUGAGUAACACGUGGGUGAUCUGCCCUGCACUUCGGGAUAAGCCUGGGAAACUGGGUCUAAUACCGGAUAUGACCUCCUAUCGCAUGGUGGGUGGUGGAAAGAUUUAUCGGUGCAGGAUGGGCCCGCGGCCUAUCAGCUUGUUGGUGGGUAAUGGCCUACCAAGGCGACG
rnacentral:rRNA from 1 species